ACGAAAAUUUCCAAGAUUUAUCAAAUAAUCCAGUAAUAAAGGCCAAAUCAUCCAAUUGAGGGUGAAAGUAUGGAUUUUGGCCGGAUUUGAAUAACAAGAAUUUGAUUGAAUGCGCUCUUUGUCAUAGACAAAUGCAUUCUGAAGUCAAGAGGUUAAAGCAAUAUUUAGUUGGGAGCUACGGCGAUGUUGUUAAAUGUCCUAAUACCACAUAAGAAAUUCGUAAGGAAAUACAUCAAUUUAUGAGCAAAAAAGUGAUUAAUAAAGCAUCGUGGGGUAUUACCGAACUUGAUUAUUUCGAGGAUACCGAAGACAACGAGAAGUUAGAAGAAAAUCAAUCUACGGGUGCUAUAAAUUCAUUCCAAGCCUUCAGUGCAUCGAAGUUCGGGCACAAAUAGCAAAAGAAAGUUGGCUCAAUCAACUUUAAAAUUUUUUGAACCUCCGAGAGUUGGAAAACAAAGUAAGUCAAUUGCUGCAAUGAUUCGAAAGACUCCUGAAGAGAUUGUUGAAGAAAGACAUAUGGACGGUUAUGUUCAGAAAACCAUCGAAGCUUCUACAAAAGGAAAAGAUGAAACAAUUGAAGUGCAAAGGCAUAUUGCCGAUUUUUUCUAUGAAAAUGGCAUUCCAUUCAAUGCUUGCAAAUCAAGAAGUUACGUAUUAUGGUUGAGGGUAUCGGACAAUAUGGUUCCGAUUUGAAACCUAUUAGUUAUCAUCAGUUGCAGGAACCAUUUCUUGAAAAUGCCGUAAAUGUAACAAAUAAGUUGAGAGAAUGGCAUAUGGAAGCUUAGAAACAAUAUGGGUGUUCCCUUAGGUCAUAUGGGUGGACAGACAAAAGAGGGCGACACUUAUAAAGUUUCUUGUCAAUAGUCCAUAUGGGACUUUUUUCUUGGAGUCUAUUGAUGCAUCAGCUGAGUCACAUGAUGCAAGAAUGUUGGCUUACUUGCUUGAAAAAAAGGUUGAAGAAAUUGACAAAGAGCAUGUUGUGCAAAUUGUGACGGAUAAUGGAGCAAAUCAUAAAACGGCGGGAAGAUUAGUAGCACAGCGCAUUCCUGGUCUUUUCUGGACACCAUGUGCAGCUCAUUCUAUUGAUCUUAUGCUAGAAGACAUUGGGAAAAUGAAUAAAUUUAAACCCUACAUUCAAAAGGCUAAGGACGUCACCACUUUUAUUUAUCGACAUCGGAGAAUUCUCGGUGCAAUGAAGGAAAAGACUGGUGGCAGAGAUCUGGUGAAGCCGGCGACUACCCGAUUUGCUACCGCAUUUCUCACUUUGCAGAGUUUAGACAAACAUAGGAAUGAAUUGAGACGGUUAUUUUUGAGUGAUGAUUGGAGCGAUAAUAAGCUGUCGAAAAUGUCUAAAGGCAAAAAGGUAAUGGAAACCAUUCUUUCAUCGAAAUUUUGGGAUCAGGUAGAAGAUUGUUUACGAGCAACACUUCAUUUUUUGAUUAUUUUGAGUAUAGUUGAUGGUGAUGAAAAGCCAGCUAUGCCUGAGCUUUCUUCGUCUAUGAAUCAUGCGAAGAAGAAAAUAAUUGAAUCUUUUACGAGCAAUAACAAAACAAGAUUGUUGGCCAAGUUGAUGGAAAUAAUUGAGGAUCGAUAGAGCGAUCAAAUGGAGGUGAAGUUAUAUGGGGCUGCACUAUUCCUAAAUCCUUCAAAAUAUUUUGAAUUAAAGAGGAGUGAUCCCGUAUUUGCUCGUAAGCAAUGUCAGUUGUUUAAUGAUAUUCCAGAAAAGAUGGUUAAAGAUGAAGAGUUGAUGGAUAAAAUUAGUGGUCAAAUAGAUGAUUACGAUAAAAUGCGAGGAAACUUUGGCCGUCAAUUGACAAUCAAGCACCAAAUGCAAAAGAGUCAUCUUGAUUGGUGGGAUGCAUAUAGUGGUGACAACGAAGAACUUCGAUCACUUGCGGUACGAACUAUUAGUUUAUGUUGCUCUUCUGCCGGUUGUGAGCGCAAUUGGAGUACAUUUGAAUUUAUUCAUACCAAGAAAAGAAAUAGACUAGAGCACCAAAGACUAAAUGAUUUGGUGUAUAUUCAAUAUAAUCGGAAGAUUGCACAUCGCUUUCAAAAGCGACGGGUAGCAUGAAGCAAUUUUAAUCCCUUAAUUUUUGAAGAAUUUCAAUGGGACAAUGAAUGGGUUGAUGGUUCUCGAGAUUUGGUUCAUGAAGAUGGAGAUCUUGAGUGACAUCAUGUUGAUGCAGCUGUAGGUGCUUCAAGUAAUCUCAAUAAUUCCAAUCUUCGUAGUAGAAGCGUUGGUGAAUCCUCAGGUCCGCCCAUCAUGUAUGACCGUCGCCAGGGCCCUUCUAACGGACAUUUGACAAAUGAGGAUGAAGAAAAUGAUGAAGAUUAUAUGAAUACCGAAGACUAAUGGGAAUUUGAGAAAUUGAGGAACUUUUUUCUUGGUGUUUUGAAACUUUCAUAUUUUGACAUAUUGAUAUUUUAGUGUUUUGAUGGUUAUGCUUAGCAUUUUGAUAUUUUGGUAUUUUGAUAUUUUAUUUGAAAUUUAAUGAUUGAUGUUAUAAUUUUACAUUAUAUAAUUAAAUAUUAAAAACUUAUAAUAAGUACUAAGCAAGUCGCCGUAUCGCCAUAUUGUCGCCAUUUCGGGUGCCGUAUCGCCUAGGCGAUAUGGCAGUCCGAUA